rnacentral:rRNA from 1 species
GCUUAACACAUGCAAGUCGAGGGGCAGCAUGGUCUUAGCUUGCUAAGGCCGGUGGCGACCGGCGCACGGGUGAGUAACACGUAUCCAACCUGCCGUCUACUCUUGGACAGCCUUCUGAAAGGAAGAUUAAUACAAGAUGGCAUCAUGAGUCCGCAUGUUCACAUGAUUAAAGGUAUUCCGGUAGACGAUGGGGAUGCGUUCCAUUAGAUAGUAGGCGGGGUAACGGCCCACCUAGUCUUCGAUGGAUAGGGGUUCUGAGAGGAAGGUCCCCCACAUUGGAACUGAGACACGGUCCAAACUCNUACGGGAGGCAGCAGUGAGGAAUAUUGGUCAAUGGGCGCAGGCCUGAACCAGCCAAGUAGCGUGAAGGGUGACUGCCCUAUGGGUUGUAAACUUCUUUUAUAAAGGAAUAAAGUCGGGUAUGUAUACCCGUUUGCAUGUACUUUAUGAAUAAGGAUCGGCUAACUCCGUGCCAGCAGCCGCGGUAAUACGGAGGAUCCGAGCGUUAUCCGGAUUUAUUGGGUUUAAAGGGAGCGUAGAUGGAUGUUUAAGUCAGUUGUGAAAGUUUGCGGCUCAACCGUAAAAUUGCAGUUGAUACUGGAUAUCUUGAGUGCAGUUGAGGCAGGCGGAAUUCGUGGUGUAGCGGUGAAAUGCUUAGAUAUCACGAAGAACUCCGAUUGCGAAGGCAGCCUGCUAAGCUGCAACUGACA